UAUGUAUAAUUUGCUAUUUAAUACCAUACUCUGCUUAAUCUGUAACAAAUCUGAAGCUUAACGAUACUGUUUUUGAACGACUGUGCUCUCUGUUCAGCGCUGUUUAGUGAUAUAUGCAUCUUUUCGUUGACUUAUGAAGAUUUUUGAGAUGCGUUAUUGAAUUUAUGUCUGAAAUUGAAAUUCGCAUCUAAUUAUUUUUUGAUACCAAACAAAAAUUUGUAUUUGUCUUUGUUAACUAUAUUCGCUUUUAUAUAAAGAAAAUAUUAAAAAAGCCAAUUUUAAUAUUUAAUCUCACAAAUGUAAUAAUGGGUGUUCAUUUUUUUUUAAUUGAUUUUUUUUUUCAUGAUUCUUGUGCAAUGUGUAAGGCCUUUCUGUUGCCCGACCUUAGUGUUAUUUUUCCCCCUUGAUUGUGCCAGUGUUGUAUGUUCGUCAAUGCCUGUGCAUUUUAGUUUUAAUUUUAAUUUUAACCGAUCCCUCUGUUCUGUUGUUUUAAAUUGCCACUCUAGUCUUCUGUUUGUACAUACUAAAUUUAGAAUUGAUAUUACAGAUGCGAAGAGGUUGAUUGGAAGG
rnacentral:misc_RNA from 1 species